rnacentral:rRNA from 1 species
GCUUAGCCCUAAACCAUAAUAAUCCCACAACAAAAUUAUUUGCCAGAGAACUACUAGCCACAGCUUAAAACUCAAAGGACUUGGCGGUACUUUAUAUCCAUCUAGAGGAGCCUGUUCUAUAAUCGAUACACCCCGCUUUACCUCACCAUCCCUUGCUAAUUCAGCCUAUAUACCGCCAUCUUCAGCAAUCCCUCAAAAGGAAUUAAAGUAGGCAAGAGAAUCAAACAUAAAAACGUUAGGUCAAGGUGUAGCCAAUGGGAUGGGAAGCAAUGGGCUACAUUUUCUUUUCAAGAACAUAACGCUAUCCUUCAUGAAACUGAAGGACAAAGGAGGAUUUAGUAGUAAAUUAAGAAUAGAGAGCUUAAUUGAAUAGAGCAAUGAAGUACGCACACACCGCCCGUCACCCUCCUCAAAUUAAAUAUACACUUAACUAUAAAUAAUUAUUAGUAAUAAAUUUAUCAGAGGAGAUAAGUCGUAACAAGGUAAGCAUACUGGAAAGUGUGCUUGGAAUAAU